CGAGCGAAUGGAUUAAGAGCUUGCUCUUAUGAAGUUAGCGGCGGACGGGUGAGUAACACGUGGGUAACCUGCCCAUAAGACUGGGAUAACUCCGGGAAACCGGGGCUAAUACCGGAUAACAUUUUGAACCGCAUGGUUCGAAAUUGAAAGGCGGCUUCGGCUGUCACUUAUGGAUGGACCCGCGUCGCAUUAGCUAGUUGGUGAGGUAACGGCUCACCAAGGCAACGAUGCGUAGCCGACCUGAGAGGGUGAUCGGCCACACUGGGACUGAGACACGGCCCAGACUCCUACGGGAGGCAGCAGUAGGGAAUCUUCCGCAAUGGACGAAAGUCUGACGGAGCAACGCCGCGUGAGUGAUGAAGGCUUUCGGGUCGUAAAACUCUGUUGUUAGGGAAGAACAAGUGCUAGUUGAAUAAGCUGGCACCUUGACGGUACCUAACCAGAAAGCCACGGCUAACUACGUGCCAGCAGCCGCGGUAAUACGUAGGUGGCAAGCGUUAUCCGGAAUUAUUGGGCGUAAAGCGCGCGCAGGUGGUUUCUUAAGUCUGAUGUGAAAGCCCACGGCUCAACCGUGGAGGGUCAUUGGAAACUGGGAGACUUGAGUGCAGAAGAGGAAAGUGGAAUUCCAUGUGUAGCGGUGAAAUGCGUAGAGAUAUGGAGGAACACCAGUGGCGAAGGCGACUUUCUGGUCUGUAACUGA
rnacentral:rRNA from 1 species